rnacentral:rRNA from 1 species
AUACGGAGGGUGCGAGCGUUAAUCGGAAUUACUGGGCGUAAAGCGUGUGUAGGCGGUUUGUUAAGUCAGAUGUGAAAGCCCCGGGCUUAACUUGGGAACUGCAUUUGAAACUGGGUAACUAGAGUGUAGUAGAGGGGAGUGGAAUUUCAGGUGUAGCGGUGAAAUGCGUAGAGAUCUGAAGGAACACCAGUGGCGAAGGCGACUCCCUGGACUAGAACUGACGCUGAGGUACGAAAGCGUGGGUAGCAAACAGGAUUAGAAACCCGAGUAGUCC